AAAAAAGCAGGAUGCUGUGCUCUCUACAAGCAGUAUCUCCGUAAACUUAAGGAACAAUCAUAUUCAUCAUUAUUGGGUGAACCAUUGGCCAUGUCCAUGUGUUGGACAAUUACAUGUCUAUCGGUUCAGUAAAUGAUGUCACAUUU